GACUCUGGCUCAGAACGAACGCUGGCAGCGUGGAUUAGGCAUGCAAGUCGAACGGGAUCCAGUGUGUAGCAAUACAUGCUGGUGAGAGUGGCGGAAGGGCGAGUAGCGCGUAGGCAAUCUGCCUCGAAGUUGGGGAUAACCCCGCGAAAGCGGGGCUAAUACCGGAUGUGGUCGUUUCUCGCAUGAGAGAAUGAUCAAAGGUGGGGACCUUCGGGCCUGCCGCUUCGAGAGGAGCCUGCGUACCAUCAGCUAGUUGGUGAGGUAACGGCCCACCAAGGCUAUGACGGUUAGCUGGUCUGAGAGGAUGGUCAGCCGCACUGGGACUGAGACACUGCCCAGACUCCUACGGGAGGCUGCAGUCGAGGAUCAUUUGCAAUGCGCGAAAGCGUGACAAUGCGACGCUGCGUGGAGGAUGACGGCCUUCGGGUUGUAAACUCCUGUCGUCCGGGAACAAUGACCUUGGCGUUAACACCGUCAGGGAGUGAUGGUACCGGAAAAGGAAGCCACGGCCAACUCUGUGCCAGCAGCCGCGGUAAUACAGAGGUGGCGAGCGUUGUUCGGAUUUACUGGGCGUAAAGGGCGCGUAGGUUGCUUUGUGUGUCAGGUGUGAAAUCCCACGGCUCAACUGUGGAACUGCACCUGAAACUGCAGAGCUGGAGUGCAGGAGGGGAGAGCGGAAUUCUUGGUGUAGCGGUGAAAUGCGUUGAUAUCAAGAAGAACACCGGUGGCGAAGGCGGCUCUCUGGAAUGCAACUGACACUGAGGCGCGAAAGCUGGGGGAGCAAACAGGAUUAGAUACCCUGGUAGUCCCAGCCCUAAACGGUGUGCACUUGGUGUGGGGAGAUUUGACCCUCUCCGUGCCGGAGCUAACGCGUUAAGUGCACCGCCUGGGGAGUACGGCCGCAAGGCUAAAACUCAAAGAAAUUGACGGGGGCCCGCACAAGCGGAGGAGCAUGUGGCUUAAUUCGAUGCAACGCGAAGAACCUUACCAGGGCUUGACAUGUAACUGCACGCCCCGUGAAAGCGGGGUUCCUUCGAGGGUGUUACACAGGUGCUGCAUGGCUGUCGUCAGUUCGUGCCGUGAGGUGUUGGGUUAAGUCCCGCAACGAACGCAACCCCUGUGUUUAGUUGCUAUCGCUUCGGCGAGCACUCUAAACAGACUGCCUGUACAAGCAGGAGGAAGGUGGGGAUGACGUCAAGUCAGUAUGGCCUUUAUGCCCUGGGCUGCACACGUGCUACAAUGGCCGGUACAGAGGGAAGCAAGACCGCGAGGUGGAGCAAAUCCUCAAAACCGGCCUCAGUUCAGAUUGAAGGCUGCAACUCGCCUUCAUGAAGCCGGAUUCGCUAGUAACGGCGUAUCAGCUACGGCGCCGUGAAUACGUUCCCGGGCCUUGUACACACCGCCCGUCACAUCAUGAAAGCCGUCUGCACCCGAAGUCGCUAAUCCAACCCGCAAGGGGGGUAAGUGCCUAAGGUGUGGGUGGUGAUUGGGAUGAAGUCGAAACAAGGUA
rnacentral:rRNA from 1 species